rnacentral:rRNA from 1 species
UUAAGUGACUAAGCGUACACGGUGGAUGCCUGGGCAGUCAGAGGCGAUGAAGGACGUACUAACUUGCGAUAAGCGCAGAUAAGGCAGUAAGAGCCGUUUGAGUCUGCGAUUUCCGAAUGGGGAAACCCAACUGCAUAAGCAGUUACUGUUAACUGAAUACAUAGGUUAACAGAGCAAACCGGGGGAACUGAAACAUCUAAGUACCCCGAGGAGAAGAAAUCAACCGAGAUUCCGGUAGUAGCGGCGAGCGAACCUGGAUUAGCCCUUAAGCACUCGGUGAAGUAGGUGAACAAGCUGGAAAGCUUGGCGAUACAGGGUGAUAGCCCCGUAACCGACGCUUCAUCGAGCGUGAAAUCGAGUAGGGCGGGACACGUGAUAUCCUGUCUGAAUAUGGGGGGACCAUCCUCCAAGGCUAAAUACUCCUGACUGACCGAUAGUGAACCAGUACCGUGAGGGAAAGGCGAAAAGAACCCCUGUGAGGGGAGUGAAAUAGAACCUGAAACCGUGUACGUACAAGCAGUAGGAGCACCUUCGUGGUGUGACUGCGUACCUUUUGUAUAAUGGGUCAGCGACUUAUAUUCAGUGGCAAGGUUAACCGUAUAGGGGAGCCGUAGCGAAAGCGAGUCUUAACUGGGCGUUCAGUCUCUGGAUAUAGACCCGAAACCGGGUGAUCUAGCCAUGGGCAGGUUGAAGGUUGAGUAACAUCAACUGGAGGACCGAACCGACUAAUGUUGAAAAAUUAGCGGAUGACUUGUGGCUAGGGGUGAAAGGCCAAUCAAACUCGGAGAUAGCUGGUUCUCCCCGAAAGCUAUUUAGGUAGCGCCUCGGACGAAUACUACUGGGGGUAGAGCACUGUUAAGGCUAGGGGGUCAUCCCGACUUACCAACCCUUUGCAAACUCCGAAUACCAGUAAGUACUAUCCGGGAGACACACGGCGGGUGCUAACGUCCGUCGUGGAGAGGGAAACAACCCAGACCGCCAGCUAAGGUCCCAAAGUAUUGCUAAGUGGGAAACGAUGUGGGAAGGCUCAGACAGCUAGGAUGUUGGCUUAGAAGCAGCCAUCAUUUAAAGAAAGCGUAAUAGCUCACUAGUCGAGUCGGCCUGCGCGGAAGAUGUAACGGGGCUAAGCAAUACACCGAAGCUGCGGCAAUAUCUUUUAGAUAUUGGGUAGGGGAGCGUUCUGUAAGCCGUUGAAGGUGAAUCGUAAGGUUUGCUGGAGGUAUCAGAAGUGCGAAUGCUGACAUGAGUAACGACAAAGGGGGUGAAAAACCUCCUCGCCGGAAGACCAAGGGUUCCUGUCCAACGUUAAUCGGGGCAGGGUGAGUCGACCCCUAAGGUGAGGCCGAAAGGCGUAAUCGAUGGGAAACGGGUUAAUAUUCCCGUACUUCUGACUAUUGCGAUGGGGGGACGGAGAAGGCUAGGUGGGCCAGGCGACGGUUGUCCUGGUUCAAGUGCGUAGGCUUGAGAGUUAGGUAAAUCCGGCUCUCUCUAAGGCUGAGACACGACGUCGAGCUGCUACGGCAGUGAAGUCAUUGAUGCCAUGCUUCCAGGAAAAGCCUCUAAGCUUCAGAUAGUCAGGAAUCGUACCCCAAACCGACACAGGUGGUCGGGUAGAGAAUACCAAGGCGCUUGAGAGAACUCGGGUGAAGGAACUAGGCAAAAUGGUACCGUAACUUCGGGAGAAGGUACGCUCUUGAUGGUGAAGUCCCUCGCGGAUGGAGCUGACGAGAGUCGCAGAUACCAGGUGGCUGCAACUGUUUAUUAAAAACACAGCACUGUGCAAAAUCGCAAGAUGACGUAUACGGUGUGACGCCUGCCCGGUGCCGGAAGGUUAAUUGAUGGGGUUAGCGCAAGCGAAGCUCUUGAUCGAAGCCCCGGUAAACGGCGGCCGUAACUAUAACGGUCCUAAGGUAGCGAAAUUCCUUGUCGGGUAAGUUCCGACCUGCACGAAUGGCGUAAUGAUGGCCACGCUGUCUCCACCCGAGACUCAGUGAAAUUGAAAUCGCUGUGAAGAUGCAGUGUACCCGCGGCUAGACGGAAAGACCCCGUGAACCUUUACUACAGCUUGGCACUGAACAUUGAACCUACAUGUGUAGGAUAGGUGGGAGGCUAUGAAGACGUGACGCUAGUUGCGUUGGAGCCGUCCUUGAAAUACCACCCUUGUAUGUUUGAUGUUCUAACUUAGACCCAUUAUCUGGGUUGAGGACAGUGCCUGGUGGGUAGUUUGACUGGGGCGGUCUCCUCCCAAAGAGUAACGGAGGAGCACGAAGGUGGGCUAAUCACGGUUGGACAUCGUGAGGUUAGUGCAAUGGCAUAAGCCCGCUUAACUGCGAGAAUGACGGUUCGAGCAGGUGCGAAAGCAGGUCAUAGUGAUCCGGUGGUUCUGUAUGGAAGGGCCAUCGCUCAACGGAUAAAAGGUACUCCGGGGAUAACAGGCUGAUACCGCCCAAGAGUUCAUAUCGACGGCGGUGUUUGGCACCUCGAUGUCGGCUCAUCACAUCCUGGGGCUGAAGUCGGUCCCAAGGGUAUGGCUGUUCGCCAUUUAAAGUGGUACGCGAGCUGGGUUUAGAACGUCGUGAGACAGUUCGGUCCCUAUCUGCCGUGGGCGUUGGAAGAUUGAAGGGGGCUGCUCCUAGUACGAGAGGACCGGAGUGGACGAACCUCUGGUGUUCGGGUUGUGUCGCCAGACGCAUUGCCCGGUAGCUAAGUUCGGAAUUGAUAAGCGCUGAAAGCAUCUAAGCGCGAAGCGAGCCCUGAGAUGAGUCUUCCC